ensembl:lncRNA
GGGAGGAGGAGUGUCCAAUGAGGGAAGGUCGUGCCCUACGUGAACACCUGCCCAACUCUUACGUCACCCUAAGAGAGGGCGACGCUCCUUCCGAAAGGGGCGUGGCUCAGGAAGGCGGGGUCUCUCCCACCUCCGCCCGGGGUCUGGUCUGACAGGCGUUCUAGUUCGGGCUUUCAUUCCUGCCAAGGAGCAGCUGAUCUUCAACAUCCAGCAUGCCCCAAGACCUGCCACUUCUGAGCUGUAUCAGGACACCUGCUGCUUCCUGCUGUGUCUGGUAGACCUGGCUGGUGUGGGCAUGCGCUCUCUACCCGGAGCAGACUUUGGACCUGGGACUGUGGAGGUGGUCUGAGUGCUGUAGUCACAGCACACUGGUCACUGGCGUCAAAGGCCUCUUUCUUCCCCAAGUUCACUUCCUGCUGGACUACCCAGUCCCUGCCUGCAGCCCCCUCUAUGCCUUCAGCCAGGAACCAACCCAGCCUCAACCCUUUGUUGCCAAAGUAAACAGUGUUUCUUCAGUCUGGGGU